CAUUUUCUUCAUCUAAUUAAGCCUACACAAUCAAGUAGAGUACUAACAAGUAGCUCCUUGAUCAAUUUUCCAUUUUUUUUUCAGUGGCAACAAUGUGUGGCUCAUUUGCUCCAAGGUCAUCGUCUCUGCUGCUGCUGCUAAUCACUCUGCUGCUUGUCGUUGUCUCACGCCCACAAUAUUCCUUGGAUGCUAGCGCAUUAUCAGAUCACCUCGCCGUCGGCGAUGCGCCGCCGCCGCCGCCGCAGCACGGUGCUGGCCGGAGGCUACUCAGCACGCAGAACCAGGUGACGCCGCCACCGCCGGCGCCGGUGUCCUCGCCGCCGAUAGGCCCUGCGCCUACCCUGCUGCCGCCGCCGCCGCCGGCAAAAUAAACGGCGGCGACGUAUUUGCAACCUCACGACGACCAGAUGCCACAUGCAUGUGUACCAGAAACAGAUUAUGUCAAAUUGAAUUGAUGCGUGUGUAAUCAAUGAAUUUAUCUUGCGAAUUGCGAUCGAUCGAAAGACCAUUUUCUCGAUCAGCUAGCUUGAUGGGAUCAUAUUCAUAUCCUAGCUCAAAAUUUCAUGAAUCAUUUCGAAUAAAAUCCCCCCUCUUCUCAUUUGCGAGGGGCUAGCUGGAA